rnacentral:rRNA from 1 species
AGUGAACGCUGGCGGUAGGCCUAACACAUGCAAGUCGAACGGCAGCACAGUAAGAGCUUGCUCUUACGGGUGGCGAGUGGCGGACGGGUGAGGAAUACAUCGGAAUCUACUUUUUCGUGGGGGAUAACGUAGGAAAACUUACGCUAAUACCGCAUACGACCUACGGGUGAAAGCAGGGGAUCUUCGGACCUUGCGCGAUUGAAUGAGCCGAUGUCGGAUUAGCUAGUUGGCGGGGUAAAGGCCCACCAAGGCGACGAUCCGUAGCUGGUCUGAGAGGAUGAUCAGCCACACUGGAACUGAGACACGGUCCAGACUCCUACGGGAGGCAGCAGUGGGGAAUAUUGGACAAUGGGCGCAAGCCUGAUCCAGCCAUACCGCGUGGGUGAAGAAGGCCUUCGGGUCGUAAAGCCCUUUUGUUGGGAAAGAAAAGCAGCAGGUUAAUACCCCGCUGUUCUGACGGUACCCAAAGAAUAAGCACCGGCUAACUUCGUG